rnacentral:rRNA from 1 species
CCUACGGGGGGCAGCAGUAGGGAAUCUUCGGCAAUGGACGGAAGUCUGACCGAGCAACGCCGCGUGAGUGAAGAAGGUUUUCGGAUCGUAAAGCUCUGUUGUAAGAGAUGAACGAGUGUGAGAGUGGAAAGUUCACACUGUGACGGUAUCUUACCAGAAAGGGACGGCUAACUACGUGCCAGCAGCCGCGGUAAUACGUAGGUCCCGAGCGUUGUCCGGAUUUAUUGGGCGUAAAGCGAGCGCAGGCGGUUAGAUAAGUCUGAAGUUAAAGGCUGUGGCUUAACCAUAGUACGCUUUGGAAACUGUUUAACUUGAGUGCAAGAGGGGAGAGUGGAAUUCCAUGUGUAGCGGUGAAAUGCGUAGAUAUAUGGAGGAACACCGGUGGCGAAAGCGGCUCUCUGGCUUGUAACUGACGCUGAGGCUCGAAAGCGUGGGGAGCAAACAGGAUUAGAUACCCGGGUAGUC